UACGAACUGUGCAAACGUUAUUCGGAAUCACUGGGCUUAAAGGGUGCGUAGGCGGCUGUCUAAGUAGGGUGUGAAAGCCCCCGGCUCAACCGGGGAAUUGCGCCCUAAACUGGAUGGCUGGAGUGAGGCAGGGGUGUGUGGAACUUCCGGUGGAGCGGUGAAAUGUGUUGAUAUCGGAAGGAACGCCGGUGGCGAAAGCGACACACUGGGUCUCAACUGACGCUGAGGCACGAAAGCCAGGGGAG
rnacentral:rRNA from 1 species